GCCGGCAAGCGGCGGAGGCGGGAUCGGAACCCGGGUCCUCGGCCGCCCCGCCCCCGGGGUUUCGCCUCCCCGAGAUCGAUCUCGACGUCCGUCUCCCCCUCCCCCGGCUGGACCGUCAGCUCCUUCGGGGAGGGGGUGGUGUCCAGCGGCUCUCCCGAACUCUCCCGGGCACUUAGGCCGGUGCUCCGCGCAGAGUGAAACAUUGGAUGAGUAACAACCGCGACGUCCGGUAAGCAGUCGCGUCGGCCACCGGGCUGGGCGCCGGGGUAGAUCCGCGCCCACCCGGGGCCUGUCCCGCCCGGUCCCCGCCGUCCGUCCGACGCCCGUUUUCCAGACGAGGACGUCGAGGCCCGGGGAGAUGACCCGCCCGAGGUCACACGGUGGGCAAGUGGCAGCACCGGGGUCUCCGGACCCCCGGGCUCUUUCCGCUAGGCCCCGCCGCGUGGGAAGAGCCCGGACCCAAGAGUCAGAAGGCCCGAGUUCUAACUCCGGCCCCACCGCCGACCUGCCGCGGGGCCUCGGGCGGGUCACUCGGCUUCCUCCGGCCCUCUUCUCAUCUCAUCUAUAAAACGGGGCUCGAAUUCUCCUCCCUGCGCCACGUGGGACUCCGACGGGGGAACCGAGGCCCAGAGGAGCGAAGCGACUCGUCCGAGGUCGCACAGCGGCCGAGAGGCGGAGCCGGGAUUAGAACCCAGAACCGCGUUCUUUCCCGCUUCCCUGAGCGUGGUCUCUAUCGAUCUUAUGAUCUUAUAAAUCCGUAAGCGCGGCC